rnacentral:rRNA from 1 species
UACGUAGGGCGCAAGCGUUGUCCGGAAUUAUUGGGCGUAAAGAGCUCGUAGGCGGUUUGUCGCGUCGGAUGUGAAAGCCCGGGGCUUAACCCCGGGUCUGCAUUCGAUACGGGCAGACUAGAGUGUGGUAGGGGAGAUCGGAAUUCCUGGUGUAGCGGCGAAAUGCGCAGAUAUCAGGAGGAACACCGGUGGCGAAGGCGGAUCUCUGGGCCAUUACUGACGCUGAGGAGCGAAAGCGUGGGGAGCGAACAGG